UCUCUGAUAGUAUAUCGGUUAGUACACGCGCCUGUCAUAAUGUAAACGCGCGAAAGCUGGGUUCGACUCCCAGUCAGAGAG